CACCGCGGUUAUACGAGAGGCCCAAGUCGAUAGUCAACGGCGUAAAGAGUGGUUAGAUGAGACCUAUUACUAAAGCCGAACGCCUUCAAAGCUGUUAUACGCACCCGAAGGUGAGAAGCCCACCCACGAAAGUGGCUUUAUAAUCUUGAAUCCACGAAAGCUAUGACA
rnacentral:rRNA from 1 species